CGCAGCUGCUUCACGAUGUGUCCAGGCUUAACGACAACGCUGUCGGAGACGUCAACAAAAUGGCAGUGACGGUGAGGGAGCAGGUGGCAGCGGGGCAGUUUGCCACAGCACAGAAGACAUGGACCAAUCAACUAGAUCUGAUUGACUCCAGGAGUGAUAGUGUUAACAUGGACAACUUCUUGCUUGACACCGGCAUGAACCCGGUGUUGGCAAACUGGCAAUCGAUGACAAGCAGCCAGUUGAUGUGUCGCAACAGCCAGCAAUCUCAAUCAGCCCCAAACAACAUC